AUACGUAUGUCGCAAGCGUUAUCCGGAUUUAUUGGGCGUAAAGCGCGUCUAGGCGGCUUAGUAAGUCUGAUGUGAAAAUGCGGGGCUCAACCCCGUAUUGCGUUGGAAACUGCUAAACUAGAGUACUGGAGAGGUAGGCGGAACUACAAGUGUAGAGGUGAAAUUCGUAGAUAUUUGUAGGAAUGCCGAUGGGGAAGCCAGCCUACUGGACAGAUACUGACGCUAAAGCGCGAAAGCGUGGGUAGUAAACAGGAUUAGAUACCCUGGUAGUCCACGCCGUAAACGAUGAUUACUAGGUGUUGGGGGUCGAACCUCAGCGCCCAAGCUAACGCGAUAGGUAAUCCGCCUGGGGAGUACGUACGCAAGUAUGAAACUCAAAUGAAUUGGCGGGG
rnacentral:rRNA from 1 species